CCGCAGCUCGCCCCAGGAGCUGCACCGCGCCGGGGGCGCGCACGAUUCCCCACGGCCGCUGCUUGCGGGCGCGCUCCCGGCCAGCCGCUGCCUCGCGUGUGCGCGCCUGUGCGGGGGCGCGCAGCCCCCCCGGAGGCCGUGCCAUGCCCGCCCGUGCCCCGCGGGCAGCCCCCCCGUUUCCCUCCCGCACCGGAGCGGGGCUGAGCCGGGGAGCGAUGGAGAGCGGAGCGAAGGCAGCGCUCGGCUUUUAAACGCCGAUCCGGCCCUUUUUGCCCCCCCUUUUUUUUUUUUUUUUUUUUUUUUUUUUUAAUUUCCUUCUUCCCCCACACCCCCCCAAGUGAUGCGGCUGCGGAGAAAGCAGCAAAUCCCCCGGCUGUGCGCGCCCUGCCCGGGAUGCUCCAUCCCCGCCUGUGCCGCCCGGGUGCCUGCGCGGCUGGGAGCGCUGCCUAGGGGCGGCGGGGCAGGGGAAAACACGGCUUGAAGGGGGUGGCACGGGCCUGGGGGGGCCACCUCCGAGGGGCUGCAGGUGGCUUCGAGGCAGGGCUUUGGGGCUCCUGCCGCCUCGUGGGGCAUGGCACGCGUGGGAGCCGGGAGCGCUCGCCCCUGCGGGAGCAGAAGGCGAAGUCUUUCGCGAUGAAUCCCUGGCAGCUUCGAUCGAGCGGUGAGCUGGAGCACCUACCCGCAGGCCACUCCUCGAUGUGACUGCACGGAGGCCUUCGCCAGCGCUCGGAGAGGCGAGCAGAGCCGUGGAUUUACCUCCCUGCGUUCCCCCCAGCACGAGCACCGCCAGGUAAGCGAGCCCCGGCUCGGCUGCCUGCAUCCAUCUCCCUCCUGCUUGCUCCCCAGAGGUGCGAGGGAGGGGAGAGGCAGGGGAUUCUGCCACACCACGGCUGAAGCUCCUCCGGCUCCCUUUUCCCCCCCGCACGCCUCUGCGGGGCGGGGAGGCUAGCGAUGGAAGCGCUGUGGGGUGGCUGCGCGCGGUCCUGAGCCUCUUCCCCUCCUUCCUCGCCCUCCUCUUUGCGCACACACCUGUCUGCUCCUCUCCCCGUGCGAGAUUUUUCCUCCUGGGUUUUGGGGAGAACGGGCAGCCGGGCUGAUGCUGCAG
rnacentral:lncRNA from 1 species